rnacentral:rRNA from 1 species
GAUGAACGCUAGCGGGAGGCCUAACACAUGCAAGCCGAGCGGUAGAGAUGCUACUAUAUAAUGAGAGCGGCGUACGGGUGCGGAACACGUGUGCAACCUGCCUUUAUCAGGGGGAUAGCCUAUCGAAAGAGAGAUUAAUACCCCAUAAUAUUUAUUACGGCAUCGUGAUAAAUUGAAAGUUUCGGCGGAUAGAGAUGGGCACGCGUAAGAUUAGAUAGUUGGUGAGGUAACGGCUCACCAAGUCGAUGAUCUUUAGGGGGCCUGAGAGGGUGAUCCCCCACACUGGUACUGAGACACGGACCAGACUCCUACGGGAGGCAGCAGUGAGGAAUAUUGGACAAUGGGUGAGAGCCUGAUCCAGCCAUCCCGCGUGAAGGACGACGGACCUAUGGUUUGUAAACUUCUUUUCUAUAGGGAUAAACCUACCUUCGUGAGGGUAGCUGAAGGUACUAUAGGAAUAAGCACCGGCUAACUCCGUGCCAGCAGCCGCGGUAAUACGGAGGGUGCAAGCGUUAUCCGGAUUUAUUGGGUUUAAAGGGUCCGCAGGCGGACUGGUAAGUCAGUGGUGAAAUCUCAUAGCUCAACUAUGAAACUGCCGUUGAUACUGUCAGUCUUGAGUGUAUAUGAAGUAGCUGGAAUGAGUAGUGUAGCGGUGAAAUGCAUAGAUAUUACUCAGAACACCAAUUGCGAAGGCAGGUUACUAAUAUACAACUGACGCUGAGGGACGAAAGCGUGGGGAGCGAACAGGAUUAGAUACCCUGGUAGUCCACGCCGUAAACGAUGCUUACUCGUUUUUGGGCUUUAGGGUUCAGAGACUAAGCGAAAGUGAUAAGUAAGCCACCUGGGGAGUACGUUCGCAAGAAUGAAACUCAAAGGAAUUGACGGGGGCCCGCACAAGCGGUGGAUCAUGUGGUUUAAUUCGCUGAUACGCGAGGAACCUUACCAAGGCUUAAAUGGGAAUUGACAGAUUCAGAGAUGGAUUUUUCUUCGGACAAUUUUCAAGGUGCUGCAUGGUUGUCGUCAGCUCGUGCCGUGAGGUGUUAGGUUAAGUCCUGCAACGAGCGCAACCCCUGUCACUAGUUGCUAACAUUAAGUUGAGGACUCUAGUGAGACUGCCUACGCAAGUAGAGAGGAAGGUGGGGAUGACGUCAAAUCAUCACGGCCCUUACGCCUUGGGCUACACACGUGAUACAAUGGCCGGUACAGAGGGCAGCUACUAGGCGACUAGGUGCGAAUCUCGAAAGCCGGUCUCAGUUCGGAUUGGAGUCUGCAACUCGACUCUAUGAAGCUGGAAUCGCUAGUAAUCGCGCAUCAGCCAUGGCGCGGUGAAUACGUUCCCGGGCCUUGUACACACCGCCCGUCAAGCCAUGGAAGUCUGGGGGUACCUGAAGUCGGUGACCGUAACAGGAGCUGCCUAGGGUAAAACAGGUAACUAGGGCUAAGUCGUAACAAGGUAGCCGUACCGGAAG